AGAGGCGGCGCUGGCGGGGCGGGGGCACGGCCGAGGGACUGGAGGUGGCAGAAGCUCACAAGCAAUGCUGAUCUGACAUCCCAGCAACCUGCCCGCAGCUCUCCUCCAGCAGCAGCGUGGGCUUCCUGGGGCUCUGCAGUCUGGAUCUGGACUGGCUACCUGUACCCAGAGUCUUGGUGUUCAUUGCCAGCAAAGAUUCCAGGCAGCUGCGUGAGCACAGAGAGCAAGGACUGGUUUGGAUGUUAGAUUAUGUCGGACCAAGCUGAGCAGCAUGUAUUGCCUUUGCUGUGCCACACUGAUCAAGACCUAAAACUCCACCCUCCAAUUUUGGGUGAUGUGAACGAAUUAACAAGAUCUGAAAACCUAUGAUUACAAGUGCACUUGAAAGGGCAUGAGAUUUCUGGAAACCAGGCAGUAGAUGGAAUAUGAUGAAAGGAAUCCAAAAUAAAUGGAUGGCUAAAACCCUUUUUAUCUUCAUUUUUCCAUGUGAACACAGCAAUUUAUUUAUCUGAAAUAAAUUUUCACUGGUACUUUC